UACGUAGGGAGCAAGCGUUGUCCGGAAUCAUUGGGCGUAAAGCGCGCGUAGGCGGCCCUGUAAGUCCGUUGUGAAAGUCAAAGGCUCAACCUUUGAAAGCCGAUGGAUACUGCAGGGCUAGAGUCCGGAAGAGGCGAGUGGAAUUCCUGGUGUAGCGGUGGAAUGCGCAGAUAUCAGGAGGAACACCAGUGGCGAAGGCGGCUUUCUGGACGGUAACUGACGCUGAGACGCGAAAGCGUGGGGAGCAAACAGG
rnacentral:rRNA from 1 species